CAUCUUGGUCAAUUAGAGGAAGUAAAAGUCGUAACAAGGUUUCCGUAGGUGAACCUGCGGAAGGAUCAUUAGUGAAAAUUGCUAUUUUCAUCGGCCUAUCUAUACCCCAUUGUUUAUAUACCAUGUUGCUUCCACUGAACAGGCCAACUCUGUUCAAGCCUCAGACGGCGAUAUAUCAUGUAUUUUGCAUGGAUUUCUGGGAUAAGCUGUUGUUUUUAUGCAGCUAUCUGUAACGUCUGGAUCAUUUGGAAAAGUUGUUUUUUGAGCAACCUUCCAUAAUGAGGCGGCCCUCUGGCUAUGGCUAGGGAGUGUCAGUGGCAAGCCAAAACCAAAACCUAAACCUGAACUUUGUUAUCAAGUCUGAAUCUUUAUAAUUUUUAUAAAACUUUCAACAACGGAUCUCUAGGCUCUUGCAUCGAUGAAGAACGCAGCAAAAUGCGAUACGUAAUGCGAAUUGCAGAUUCUCGUGAGUCAUUGAAUUUUUGAACGCAUAUUGCGCCUUAUGGUAUUCCAUAGGGCAUGCCUGUCUGAGCGUCAGCUCCCCCCCUCUCAAGCAUUUUGCUUGGAUUACUUUGGAAAAGCUGUUUAUUUUCAAGUAGCCUUCCACAAAGACAUAGGCAGUAUGGAUGUUUCCAGGCUGAACGUAAUAAUUAAAUCUGUCGCGUUUGUCUUGAAGCUCUUGUACUCGCCUUUAACCCACUCAUUUUAUUUUGGGUGACCUCAGAUCAGGUAGGGAUACCCGCUGAACUUAAGCAUAUCAAUA
rnacentral:rRNA from 1 species